GCAUAUCAAUAAGCGGAGGAAAAGAAACCCAACCGGGAUUGCCCUAGUAACGGCGAGUGAAGCGGCAAGAGCUCAAAUUUGAAAGCUGGCUCCUUCGGGGUCCGYAUUGUAAUUUGCAGAGGAUGCUUCGGGAACGGCCCCCAUCUAAGUGCCCUGGAACGGGCCGUCAUAGAGGGUGAGAAUCCCGUCUGGGAUGGGGUGUCCGCGCCCGUGUGAAGCUCCUUCGACGAGUCGAGUUGUUUGGGAAUGCAGCUCUAAUUGGGUGGUAAAUUUCAUCUAAAGCUAAAUAUUGGCCGGAGACCGAUAGCGCACAAGUAGAGUGAUCGAAAGAUGAAAAGCACUUUGAAAAGAGAGUUAAACAGCACGUGAAAUUGUUGAAAGGGAAGCGCUUGCGACCAGACUCGCCCGCGGGGUUCAGCCGGCAUUCGUGCCGGUGUACUUCCCCGCGGGCGGGCCAGCGUCGGUUUGGGCGGCCGGUCAAAGGCCCCUGGAAUGUAACGCCUCUCGGGGCGUCUUAUAGCCAGGGGUGCCAUGCGGCCUGCCCGGACCGAGGAACGCGCUUCGGCUCGGACGCUGGCAUAAUGGUCGUAAGCGACCCGUCUUGAAACACGGACCAAGGAGUCUAACAUCUACGCGAGUGUUCGGGUGUCAAACCCGUGCGCGCAGUGAAAGCGAACGGAGGUGGGAACCCCCCGGGGUGCACCAUCGACCGAUCCUGAUGUCUUCGGAUGGAUUUGAGUAAGAGCGUAGCUGUUGGGACCCGAAAGAUGGUGAACUAUGCCUGAAUAGGGCGAAGCCAGAGGAARCUMUGGUGGAGGCUCGCAGCGGUUUCUGACGUGCAAAUCGAUCGUCAAAUUUGGGUAUAGGGGCGAAAGAC
rnacentral:rRNA from 1 species